AAAUACUGUGGUUCGAUAAUACUUUAUUCUGUAAUCGCCACGAUGGCAGUGAACUAUUUUUGGGCUUGUUCAGCGUGGGCCAGAGUGAAGCCACAUAAUAUUAUUGGACUGGUUCUAGGGGUACCAGCGCUGAGCUGCCUUAUAGCAGGAUUCGCUGCUCUCUGGGAGAUACAGCUUCAUCUUAUGUUGGCGAUCAUUGGAUUAACAGUUGCUA